CCUACGGGAGGCAGCAGUGGGGAAUAUUGGGCAAUGGGCGCAAGCCUGACCCAGCAACGCCGCGUGAAGGAAGAAGGCUUUCGGGUUGUAAACUUCUUUUCUCAGGGACGAAGAAAGUGACGGUACCUGAGGAAUAAGCCACGGCUAACUACGUGUCAGCAGCCGCGGUAAUACGGAGGUGGCAAGCGUUAUCCGGAUUUAUUGGGUGUAAAGGGCGUGUAGGCGGGAGCGCAAGUCAGAUGUGAAAACUCAGGGCUCAACCCUGAGCCUGCAUUUGAAACUGUGUUUCUUGAGUGCUGGAGAGGCAAUCGGAAUUCCGUGUGUAGCGGUGAAAUGCGUAGAUAUACGGAGGAACACCAGUGGCGAAGGCGGAUUGCUGGACAAUAACUGACGCUGAGGCGCGAAAGCGUGGGGAGCAAACAGGAUUAGAUACCCUAGUAGUC
rnacentral:rRNA from 1 species